GACGAACGCUGGCGGCGUGCCUAAUACAUGCAAGUUGAGCGCUGAAGGUUGGUACUUGUACCAACUGGAUGAGCAGCGAACGGGUGAGUAACGCGUGGGGAAUCUGCCUUUGAGCGGGGGACAACAUUUGGAAACGAAUGCUAAUACCGCAUAAAAACUUUAAACACAAGUUUUAAGUUUGAAAGAUGCAAUUGCAUCACUCAAAGAUGAUCCCGCGUUGUAUUAGCUAGUUGGUGAGGUAAAGGCUCACCAAGGCGAUGAUACAUAGCCGACCUGAGAGGGUGAUCGGCCACAUUGGGACUGAGACAAGGCCCAAACUCCUACGGGAGGCAGCAGUAGGGAAUCUUCGGCAAUGGACGAAAGUCUGACCGAGCAACGCCGCGUGAGUGAAGAAGGUUGUCGGAUCGUAAAACUCGGUUGGUAGAGAAGAACGUUGGUGAGAGUGGAAAGCUCAUCAAGUGACGGUAACUACCCAGAAAGGGACGGCUAACUACGUG
rnacentral:rRNA from 1 species